rnacentral:rRNA from 1 species
UGAGUAACGCAGUGGGAAUCUACCGCNUCUCUACNGAAUAACGCAUGGAAACGUGUGCUAAUACCGUAUACGUCCUUUUGGAGAAAGAUUUAUCGGAGAUGGAUGAGCCCGCGUUGGAUUANCUAGUUGGAGGGGUAAAGGCCUACCAAGGCGACGAUCCAUAGCUGGUCUGAGAGGAUGAUCAGCCACACUGGGACUGAGACACGGCCCAGACUCCUACGGGAGGCAGCAGUGGGGAAUAUUGGACAAUGGGCGCAAGCCUGAUCCAGCCAUGCCGCGUGUGUGAUGAAGGCCCUAGGGUUGUAAAGCACUUUCACCGGAGAAGAUAAUGACGGUAUCCGGAGAAGAAGCCCCGGCUAACUUCGUGCCAGCAGCCGCGGUAAUACGAAGGGGGCUAGCGUUGUUCGGAUUUACUGGGCGUAAAGCGCACGUAGGCGGACUAUUAAGUCAGGGGUGAAAUCCCGGGGCUCAACCCCGGAACUGCCUUUGAUACUGGUAGUCUUGAGUUCGAGAGAGGUGAGUGGAAUUCCGAGUGUANAGGUGAAAUUCGUAGAUAUUCGGAGGAACACCAGUGGCGAANGCGGCUCACUGGCUCGAUACUGACNCUGAGGUGCNAAAGCGUGNGGAGCAAACAGGAUUAGAUACCCUGGUAGUCCACGCCGUANACUAUGANAGCUAGCCGUCGGGCAGUAUACUGUUCGGUGGCGCA